rnacentral:lncRNA from 1 species
GAUUCGAUGGAAGAAAUAUAAAUGGACCACCAACACAUGUCGAUUGGGAUUGAGUAGAAGUAUUUGUUAGGUUCUUGAGGAGUUUCUAUGAAAUGAAUUUAAAAUUUAGUGGCUCGAAGUAUGUAACUUCUAACUCUUUCUUUCAAGAAAUAUGUGAAAUUCAUGGAGAGUUGAAUGAAUUAGCUAAAGAGUCUAACACUUUGAUGGGAUCCAUGGCAAUUAGUAUGUGGAAAAAAUAUGAUAAGUAUUGGGGCAAUGUUGAAAGGUUUAAUCAGUUGUUGUUCGUAGCAACAGUUCUUGACCCAAGGUGCAAGUUAGAACUUCUUAAAGUCGGGUUUGAACUAAUUUAUGAUGUAAAAAUUGCAAAAAUGUUGUUAAAAAGAGUUGAAGAGACACUCCACAGGUUGUAUGCAUGCUAUGAAGAAAUGGCAAUGCCGAUCACUCCACCAUUGGCUUCAUCAAAGGAGACUACCAAAAAUAGUAGUCCAAGUCCUUCACAGCCUUCUUUUGGUCCUUCUAAAAAGAUUCCUUCUAUUUUUAAAGCUAAACUUACGCAAAACAUGCAAUUUGAGAAGAAUGAUUUGGUUGAUUAUUUGUUUGAUCGUUGUGAAGAUUUGACCAAUCCCAAAUUUGACAUAUUAGUAUGGUGGAAAUUGAAUGAGCACAAGUAUAAAAUUGUCUCCAAAAUUGCCAAAGAUGUAUUAGCAAUUCAAAUAUCCACGGUCGCUUCAGAGUCGGCAUUUUCCAUGAGUAGUCGGAUUCUUGACUCAUUUAGGAGUUCAUUGAGUGCACAGAUGGUUGAGGCCUUAAUAUGCACGAAGAAUUGGUUGCAUAGCAGCAAUGAAACUAUAGUGCUUUGUCAAUAUUUGGAUGAGGUAGAGGCAUUAAAUGACUCGGAGAAAGCUAUAGAAGGCGACAUUUGUUUUCUAUUAUCAAUUUUGACAUUUUUAUGCAUAUGGUUUCUUAGUUUCUUGUUAAAAUUAUUCUUAAGGACUAAUAAAUAUUUUGAUAUUUGCAUAUUAUACAGAAGUCGAAUCAUGUGUUACAAUGGGGGAUAUUGAUCCAAUUUUUAUCAAAUGAGAGGUUAGUACUCUUGUACUUACUAUGAUAUUAUUGCUCGUAAAAGUUUGAGUGGAGUGCUUGUUGCUAAAUACUAAC